GGGGCCACAAGCCAGAGAACACAGGUGCCUCCGGACGCUGCAAAGGCAAGGACGCAGAUUCCCCCCUAGAGCUUCCAGAAGGAUCCAGCCCUGCCGACGCCUGAGAUGGACUUUGGACUUCUGAGCUCCGGAGCUGUUAGAGUUCUCUGGUGGGAUUUCUGUCUCUGCGUUCCCUCCAGUGGAGUCGGCCACACUUCCUUCUGUGGGCUCCUGAGUAUUUGCGGCCCCUAAAGGCUCAAGGUGCAGACUGGUUCUCCUCGUUGACUACCUGGAACCCCAGCACGUGCCUUCUCUGAGUUACAGGUCACAAGUCUUCUACAACGGGAGUCAGCAGCCCAAGUUCCAGAGCCUACAGACAUAGUGACAGAAGAGAGAAAAACAAGUUCUGCACCAACACCAGAGACAGAUUCACUACGCUCCUCAGUGCACAUGUCUGGGCUGGGUGUGCACAGAGGUGUGCACUCACUGGACGCCUGACAUUCAGGCACCACCUCUAAGAGGUAGAGUGCUCUAGAGCCAGAGAAGGAGAAAACGUGCUGCAAACCUAUCUGGUUUUCUGUGAGUUCCAAGCCAGCUCAUUAGGAAGGACUCAAGGCACAGCUGAGCAAACCACAAGCUGCCCUGAGCCCCAGCGUGAGCCCCGUCCUGUCUCCUCCGUGUGCUCCAAUACCUUGCUCAAAUCUGACUCAACACAUAUCACUGCCCUCCUGCUUUAUUUCUGUCUGAAUUUGUCCAUGGUUUUUCAUUCAAAUUCUAUUUGUUGAGCCCAUCUCAUGUGUUAUGCAUGCACUGAAUGACAGGGCACUCCCUCAGCUGAGCAGGAGGUGGUGUGGAGAGCCAGCUGCUGAACAAAGACACAUUUACCUGCGUUGACUGGUCAGAGCAAUGAUCCCACCCAAAGUUCUGUUCUGUCCUGGAUGGUGGAACCAGGGAAGACGUGUGGGACAGCAGAGUAUGUUUCUCUUUACACAAUCUUUAUGGAACUUUCUGAACAUCCCUAAUGUCAUCAUAAACACCUGUCAUCUUCUGUGACCACAAGUUCUUAAACCUAUGUUAUCACCAGAUUACACACUGCU